rnacentral:rRNA from 1 species
UACGUAGGGGGCUAGCGUUGUCCGGAAUCAUUGGGCGUAAAGCGCGCGUAGGCGGCCAGAUAAGUCCGGUGUGAAAGUCAAAGGCUCAACCUUUGAAUGCCGCUGGAAACUGUCUGGCUUGAGUCCGGAAGGGGCGAGUGGAAUUCCUGGUGUAGCGGUGAAAUGCGCAGAUAUCAGGAGGAACACCAAUGGCGAAGGCAGCUCGCUGGAACGGUACUGACGCUGAGACACGAAAGCCAGGGGAGCAAACGGG